AUUGAACGCUGGCGGCAUGCCUAACACAUGCAAGUCGAACGGGGGUAGCAAUACCCCAGUGGCGGACGGGUGAGUAAUACGUAGGAAUCUGCCCUUGAGUGGGGGAUAGCCCGGGGAAACCCGGAUUAAUACCGCAUGAUCUCUUCGGAGCAAAGUGGGGGACCGCAAGGCCUCACGCUCUUGGAGGAGCCUACGUCGGAUUAGCUAGUUGGUGGGGUAAAGGCCUACCAAGGCGACGAUCCGUAACUGGUCUGAGAGGAUGAUCAGUCACACCGGAACUGAGACACGGUCCGGACUCCUACGGGAGGCAGCAGUGGGGAAUAUUGGACAAUGGGCGAAAGCCUGAUCCAGCAAUGCCGCGUGUGUGAAGAAGGCCUUCGGGUUGUAAAGCACUUUAGGUCGGAAAGAAAAGCUUUAGGUGAAUAUCCAAAGCCUUGACGGUACCGACAGAAUAAGCACCGGCUAACUCUGUGCCAGCAGCCGCGGUAAGCGAUACUCGUA
rnacentral:rRNA from 1 species